AGCGAACGCUGGCGGCAUGCCUAACACAUGCAAGUCGCACGGGGGGGCUUCGGCCUCCCAGUGGCGGACGGGUGAGGAACGCGUAGGGACCUGUCGAGGGGUGGGGGAUAACCGCGGGAAACUGCGGCUAAUACCGCAUGACGCCGCGGCGUGACAGCCGGGGCCAAAGGCGAAAGCCGCCCGCCGAGGGGCCUGCGUCCGAUUAGCUGGUUGGCGGGGUAGCGGCCCACCAAGGCGUCGAUCGGUAGCUGGUCUGAGAGGGUGAUCAGCCACACCGGGACUGAGACACGGCCCGGACUCCUACGGGAGGCAGCAGUGGGGAAUAUUGGACAAUGGGCGCAAGCCUGAUCCAGCAAUGCCGCGUGAGUGAAGAAGGUCUUCGGAUUGUAAAGCCCUUUCGGCGGGGACGAUGGUGACGGUACCCGCAGAAGAAGCCCCGGCUAACUUCGUG
rnacentral:rRNA from 1 species